rnacentral:misc_RNA from 1 species
GCUUAUAUCUCUUCUGAGAUCAAGCAGGGAGUUGGUGAAGUAUGUUAUGGGAGUUCAGGGUGAAGAUGUGCAGACUAUUUGAUGUUGAUGAAGACAUUCGUUGAUUGAAGACCUUUUGAUUCUUACUUUUCUCGGAUCAUCACUUGUAUGUGAGUUUCUUACCUUCAUUGAGAUAUGAUGAUAGAGUUCGGUUAUGAUACUUUUCAUUGUUGAUGAUUAUCAUGGAUGAUUCUUGAAUU